CUUAGUUUGAGAAACAACUAGUUUCGAUCCUUGUGUCGUCUGUAAGGAUUCUGACAUAACUCCACUCGGCCAUGAUGCAAUGUGGUUGUCCCAUGGAACAUAAACAUCCCGCUUGAGAUAGAUAUAGAAAACUUUAUUUAGGCACGCUGAGCAUGUCGACAUAUUAUGACGUCUUGUCCUCCUUGUUCGAACUGCUAGUUUCAGCUGGUUAGUGGUUACUGAAUCGGUAACAUUUCAUGUACUUUAUUUUGAAGACUACGUACACGUACACUAAUUCACACAUUUUCCAGUCCAGAUUUCGUAGUUUCUUUGAGAAUUAUCAAAUAAUUACUACCAGUGAUGUUUAAUAGUG
rnacentral:lncRNA from 1 species